AACGAACGCUGGCGGCAUGCCUAACACAUGCAAGUCGAACGAGACCUUCGGGUUCUAGUGGCGCACGGGUGCGUAACGCGUGGGAACCUGCCUUUAGGUUCGGAAUAACUCAGAGAAAUUUGAGCUAAUACCGGAUAAUGUCUUCGGGACCAAAGAUUUAUCGCCUUUAGAUGGGCCCGCGUAAGAUUAGCUAGUUGGUGGGGUAAAGGCCUACCAAGGCGACGAUCUUUAGCUGGUCUGAGAGGAUGAUCAGCCACACUGGGACUGAGACACGGCCCAGACUCCUACGGGAGGCAGCAGUGGGGAAUAUUGGACAAUGGGCGAAAGCCUGAUCCAGCAAUGCCGCGUGAGUGAUGAAGGCCUUAGGGGUUGUAAAGCUCUUUUUACCCGAGAUGAUAAUGACAGUAUCGGGAGAAUAAG
rnacentral:rRNA from 1 species